AUAGAGGCGCGGCGGACAUGAGUACCGCGGGGGAGCCCGGCCAGGGCGGAGAACCCGCGGGAAAGGGGACGCCGCCGAAACGCUAUUGUCCGAGCCGACAGAAAGCGUUGGGCCGGAGGAGAAUAUCUUUCGGACUGUCAUGGCCAGGCCAUGGAGCGCUAUUC
rnacentral:ncRNA from 1 species